CUGUGGAACUGCAUAAAAUAAACCUAAGUAGUCUUAUUUUACAACUUUUCUGUUUUUCUCCCCAGAGGGUGAAAGAUCUUGCUUUUACUAUUUGGAGGUUGAUUUACCAUGAAAAGAAACAACAUCGUCAAAUGAUAACUGGGGAUUAUAAGAAGAGUUGCAAACAACCAGUAGAAGAAAAGAAGAAUCAAUUAUACCUUAUAGUUAUGUUUUAUAGGAUGUGAUGGAGGAAUGACUACUUCAAGAAGAGCUGGAUCCACAAGCCUGGAAUAACAGUAAUAGCCUAUUUGGUUGGCUACCAUCUCAGAAAGAUGCAUUCUGAUAUGAGCAGAAAUUACAAAGAUAGGGUUGCAGCCAAGUUUGACAGCAGAAUGGGGAGCUGGAAGAUGAUUGCCUUCAAAUUUCAUGAAAAAAGUAUUAUUGAAGAAAUGCAGAUCCUAUGGAGGAACUGAACCACUAAGCAUGGAAUUCAGAAAUGCAGAUUUAAAGCUCAAGAACAGAAUCACAGACUCACAGAAUUGCAGGAGUGGGAAGGUACCUCAAGAGAUCAUCGAGUCUAACCCCCUGCUAAGGCAGGUUCCCUACAACAGGUCACAAAGCUGACAGGUCUGCAUAGCCUUGUGGUAAGCAAGGUCAUCGGAACGACUUCAGUUCUAUGUCAACACUGCACAAUGGGAAAGGAAGUCCUGCUCUAGGAAGACCUUUUUCUUGAUUAAGACCUCUGGAAUUCAAGAUAAGUCCUUGCUCAGACCUUCAGAAAUCAAGUAAGAUCCCCACAAAUCCUGGCUGUCUGUCAAGAAAACACUUUGAAAUUACUGGAUUGCCAGAAAGGAAGAAACCAGGUGAGAAUCCAGUUUUACAGCACAGCAUCCAGACGUCCUCACACUUGAAAGGUGCCUGCUGGCCAUUAUUGCUGCAGAGGUGUUACAGACGAAUGCAUACCUGUAGACCUGGACAACAUUCACCUUACAUCCUGACAGGAGAUUCUCAUAGACUGAUGUGUGAUCACAUACUUAAUGCUUCUGUGUUGCUGAGGCUCUCCUCUACUGCUUGAUUCUACGCUUGCUUCUGUCCCCAUCCAACUAUCCACUCCUUUGCAUUCUGACUCCUGCCUCAGUUCUUCCUCUCCAGGCACAUUAUUGCUGUACUUCAUGUCAGAUGCCAUUCUGUCAGAGUGCCCCACUGCUGUGAUCUGUCAUAUGGCUACAGAUGUAAUGGAAUAUUGGUAGGAAGGUUCAAGCUCUACUGCCAUACCACCAAUGUCCACCUCUGAUACUGUGGGCUAACAGAAUAAAAUUGGAGGCAUUACAUUUGGAGCAGCCAUUGAGAUUCAAAAACUUUGUGAAAUUUUGAAAGAUCCUUGUUAAUGGAUUGAUUAAAGAUAGAACUUAAUGUUAAAGAAAUCACCUUUUCUAGGUGCUUAUGUCCUUCAUCUGCUGUAGAAGAGCCAAGGUGUCCAACCUGAGCUGAACAGUUGACUCUCAAGUCAUCUAAAGAACUUGUGCCUGGAAUCAUCAAUCCAGAGACUGUCUGUGCUAAUCCACAUGGAAGAUGCCUGGAAGAUUGACUACAGGGCUCCCGAGAUCCCUUCCAAAAGGAAUUGCCCUUCUGAGAAGUCUCAUAGGAUCAAGAUGGACAGCAUUUGAAGAUCAAAUUUCAUGGAGGACUUCACAAAUAGUUCUACAAGAUGGACAUUUACCAAUUUCACUGAUUUACUACAAUGAAACCUUGAAGAGUGCAAUUACAGGAUCUUUAUUUGGUGGAUGUGGGGAAACCACACUAAGUGAUUUGUCUAAUCAUACAAUUGGAAUUGAAAGCUGCUUUUUCCUCAGGAAGGAUGCUGGGAUGCACUUUGGAUUCUUUUCCUGCUGCUUCUUGGCUCAGGCCCUGGCAGACAAUGGCAGAUACCUCCCAGAGGAGCAGCUACUAGGAGAUCCAGGGCUGAAUGCUUGACUACUGAACUUCACAGAUCAAACACAUACACCAAAUUUGAGACUGAGAAAUGUCUUAUCCUUCAAAUGGCAUUAUGCUGUUUAAUGUUCUUCACACAGCAUCACAGGAAUGAUAGCUUCCAUGGCACAAGAGGAAGUCAGAAAAGGAAGUCAAGAGACCAGCAAGCAUGAUCCAGGACCUGCUUGUGAAACAGGAGAGCAAGUAGAAAAUGCACAGUCAGUGGAAGAGAGCAGAUACCUUGAUACCUUGGGAGAAAUAUAUGGAUGGUGCUAGGCUGUGUAGAGAUGGAGUUAGUGGCCAUUUCAAGAGUUCCACGUCCUUCCUGUACUGGGGGCCUCAGGCCUGGAUGCAGUACUUCAGAUGGGGCCUCACAAGAGCCGAGUAGAGGGGGACAAUCACCUCCCUCUCCCUGCUGCCCACCCCUUUCUUAAUGCAGCCCAGAACACAGUUGGCCUUUCAGGCUGCAAGAGCACACUGCUGGCUCAUGCCCAGCUUCUCAUCCACCAGGACCCCCAAGUCUUUCUCCGCAGGGCUGCUCUCAAGAAGAUCUUCUCCCAGUUUGUAUAAGUACUUGGGAUUGCCCUGACCCAAGUGCAGCACCCUGCAUUUAAGGUAUUUUUUUCACUGUAAAAAUAUGGUCCUUUUCUGUAGUAAUAAGUUGAUCAUAAUCACUGUCUAGCGACUCAAUUUAACGUGGCCUGACCUUUCACUCAUCUUUCAGGAUGUGAUUAGUCUUUUGCUACCUUUUUGUAUUUCACAUAUCCUGCUUAACAAAGAUGAGCAAAUGUUGUCUGUGUUACUGGAUGGCUCCUUUUCCACAUACAGAAAGGCUCAGAGGAAAUGUCAUACCAUCACUCAGCUCCCCUGCCAAAACAAAACAAACAACAAAACUGUGAGAUGUGUUCUGAGAUAUAUGAAAAAGUAUAUCAGGAAAAUCAGCAGAAUAUACAAGGAAUAUAUUUACUAGAGGGAGAUGAAACUUCUUCAUGCAUUGUAUUUUCACCUUAUUUAGUUCAUCUAUUUUUAAUAUCAAAAAGGAAGACUAAAGAAUUGUGUAAGGUCUCUUUCAUCUGUUCUUGUUCUGCAAAGCACAGAGAUAAGCAUGAAUCAACAAUGAAAUAAGCAUUUCAAAAUAUGUCUUGUUACUUCCAUGUAGUGAAGGAGGCAUACUCACUUAAUCAGAAGUAUUGCAACCACAUGGAUGAAUAGUAACAAUCUGUACUGCAGCAGCUAUGCAACAGAAUCUACUUUCUUUCACAGCAAAGUAGAACUAUAUUGAUUUGUCCACCUCUAAGUCAAAAGACUGUUUCCCAGUAAGACCUUCUCUUUCUUCAGAGUUCAGUGUGGGUCUCAAAAAUGUUCUUGAUUAAAGCCAGAAUCAAACAUGCUAAUACUUCAGGUUGGAAAUAAAUACUUCCUUUUUUUCCUCUCUAAAAUGUGUUAAAAAGACUUUUGCAAAUGCUUGAGCUUAAAGCCUACGCUCACUGCUUAUGUUUGCACCUUCAACCAAAGGACUCUACAAAGUCCAGGAAUUUACAGUAGUUCAAAAAGCAAUUGACAGAGUACAACAUCUUAAAAAGAAAAGGAACUACCUUUGAUUCAAUAAUAGUUGAGCUACAAAUCGCUGGUUGCUGGCUGAGUAAUGUAGGGCAGUACAUCAUUAGGCACUUGUUCUGAUCUCACACAUUUCCCUUGACAUCUGCUAUUAGCCAAAGGAUACAGGCUAGAUAAUGAUUUGUCUGACUUGCAACUGUUGAUCUUAUGUUCUUAUUUUCUGAAGUCUGCUUCCUGAAAGCUAAGCCAUCAGGCAAGUCCCUAGAGGGUAUGCAUGAUAUUUUUGAAAAUAAGCUAUUCUAGAAAGCCUAGUCUGGAAGAAAGAAAAUCCACGUCUGUAUGAAUCCUUUGUUUUUGGCUCAAAG
ensembl:lncRNA